rnacentral:rRNA from 1 species
CCUACGGGAGGCAGCAGUGAGGAAUAUUGGUCAAUGGGCGCGAGCCUGAACCAGCCAAGUAGCGUGAAGGAUGACUGCCCUACGGGUUGUAAACUUCUUUUAUAAAGGAAUAAAGUGAGGCACGUGUGCGUUGUUGGAUGGACUUUAUGAAUAAGGAUCGGCUAACGCCGUGCCAGCAGCCGCGGUAAUACGGAGGAUCCGAGCGUUAUCCGGAUGUAUUGGGGUUAAAGGGAGCGUAGAGGGGUUGUUAAGUCAGUGGUGAAAGUUUGCGGCUCAACCGUAAAAUUGCAAUUGAUACUGGCAGCCUUGAGUUCAGUUGAGGUAGGCGGAAUUCGUGGUGUCGCGGU